rnacentral:rRNA from 1 species
GAUGAACGCUGGCGGCGUGCCUAAUACAUGCAAGUCGAGCGAACGGACGAGAAGCUUGCUUUUCUGAUGUUAGCGGCGGACGGGUGAGUAACACGUGGAUAACCUACCUAUAAGACUGGGAUAACUUCGGGAAACCGGAGCUAAUACCGGAUAAUAUUUUGAACCGCAUGGUUCAAAAGUGAAAGACGGUCUUGCUGUCACUUAUAGAUGGAUCCGCGCUGCAUUAGCUAGUUGGUAAGGUAACGGCUUACCAAGGCAACGAUGCAUAGCCGACCUGAGAGGGUGAUCGGCCACACUGGAACUGAGACACGGUCCAGACUCCUACGGGAGGCAGCAGUAGGGAAUCGUCCGCAAUGGGCGAAAGCCUGACGGAGCAACGCCGCGUGAGUGAUGAAGGUCUUCGGAUCGUAAAACUCUGUUAUUAGGGAAGAACAUAUGUGUAAGUAACUGUGCACAUCUUGACGGUACCUAAUCAGAAAGCCACGGCUAACUACG